CUGAUCAAUCUAAUAAACUUAAACAUACCCCAUCCUCCUUAUUCUGGUAUUUUAAAGAGUACUUACUGAGUACUCUUGAGGAGGCCAAAUGAGGAGGGCAAGAUGCCCCUCCCUAGGGCCGGCUCCCCUGCUGACCCCAGUAGGCACCCCCGUCCUCUGGUACCCACCAAGGCAAGGGAGCCCAGGCCCAUCCAGAUCGGGGCCUACGGCGGCAGCAUCGCCAAGCCUCACAGGACAAGGGCAGCCCACCCGACCCCACCGCAGAGGAAACUGUACCCACCCCAACAUUCAAUCAUCUCCCAGACUACACAAGACAACAGACACCCAGGUUAAGUUUAUUCUCCACAGUCUCAUGGACGCACACCUCUGCUGUCUCUCCCCACCUGCAGCUCUGACCGAACUCUCUGUGUCGAAGUGUGUGAGUAAUGAUGAGAUAGAAUUGUGUCUUCUGAUUGGCGAAGAGGAUGGGUUGCCUCCCCACUCAUUGGCUAUUUGGCAGCUGUAUGCUGAUAUAUUUUCUCGGCAGAUCGGCUCUGUUCGUCAGUUCUGCCAACUGGCUGGCCUUUUGUACAACCGCGUUAUAAUGAGGGACCACUGUAUUGAACUUGAACAAAGGUUUGAGGAAGCACGAAAGCUGUCCACACAUCUGGACUCAACGUUGUUGACAGUUGAGCCUACGUAUUAAAGAACUGUGACAUAUAAACUUUGAAGUGGUUAAGGGAUGCUUUCCCACAUGAACUAAGUUUUAGUACAUUGAAAUGGCAAUGAGAAGGAAUGAGCCAAAUCUUAAAUUAACUAGAGAAUAGCAUGCUCUUAAUGUGAAAAUGUGACUCCUGCCCCUGAUACCUGUCCUACUUCAGGUGGAGUCCCGCCUCCUUCCAGGAAGCAGCUCACCUGGGUUUCUGUGUUUGGUGUCCAGCUGUGAAGUGGAGCUUGUUGUUGGUGUUUGCAGAAACUGCCCUGCUAUGUGAGCCUUGUGUGUCUUAUCCUCCGUGAACCUCCUCCGAGUCACCUGUUGCCGGGCAGACUCCACACUGCAGCAGAUUACUGGGCCCACAGAUCCCUAUGCUCCAUGCUGUGAUGUUAUUAUCUGUGAUGUACUGUAUUGUAGAAAGUGUGUGUGAGCUGAUGUGAAUUGAGCAGCAUGGAUCAGUGUGAG